UAUUUAUGUGUUGUUUGAAUUGAUUACACAAAAUAAAAAAACUAGAGUUAAUACACAUUGUCUUCCACUUAGAUAGUGUUUGAGAAAAACAGCAAAAGCAAAACCUAUCUUCUUCUUCUCAAAGCAGAACCCAUCUCAUCUUCUUCUCUUAAAAAAUUGAACCCAUCUUCUUCUCAUAAAGAAUUGAACCCAUCUUCUCUUAAAGUAUUGAACCCAAAAUGACCGGGUUGGGAUUCAUAGCAAUACUUGACCCUACUGCAAUCAAGAAAUCCAAUUCGUUCGAUCAAAGUCGCUGUUCUUCUCUCUUGGCUGAAGCCUUCGUCUGCCGAUUGCCGCUUCACCGCCGCCACCGACCACCGCGACGCUGCUACCGUACUGAGGAGGCACUAAAGAGAGAGAUCGGAGAUCUGAAAAUGGAGGCUGUGCGGGAGCAUCUGAGGUGCUUAAGAGAAUCAGUUGCUUGAUUUGAUUUCUUGUUAAGUACAGUAGGGUGAAGUAUUGCUAUGGAUGUAGUUGGGCUCAAGUAGUGCCAUACGCUUUCACCCGCAAGGUCAUAUAGAUGCUUUGUCUCCAUCAAGACCACCUUGGGCGACGACUUCUAAGGCCAGAUCAUCCCCACCCUCCAACAUCCUCAUCCUCAUCCUUCAUAUCCUUCACUAAUUUUUUCUUUUCAAUUUGAUUUCUCUGCUAACCCUAGAAAUGUAAAAAUGUUAUCUUGCAUCGAUUUCAUCCUUAACUUUUGGGAUUAUGAGAGGUUCGAAAGAAGGGCCUAUGCGGAACAUCAGGCUACUGAAGGCCAACUAUUUCAAGAAGUUGAGCAAUCUGGGUUAAGCCGAAGACUCGCUUGACAUUAAGAACUUUUACCUUAAUCUUAAUAGUCUCAGAGCCAGAGAGGAAUCAGCUAUCAGAUAAUUUGUUUGCUACCCGAUUUGGAAUUUCGUUGAGUGCAUGUUAAUCUAAGUGAACUACCUGAUUUGGAUCUUUAGUUUGAAUGAUUGUUAAGUUUUGGUGUGGUUGAUUGCAGAAGCCUCCAUCAACGCGAUCAACAAAGUCUAUGCUGGCUUCCUCUCCUCAUUGGAUACUAACUCUAUCACCAAGAAGAGUUGGCAGGUAUGAAUCAAGGUUUCCUGUUGGUGAAGUGACUUGUUUAGAUUCAGCUGAUCUGCCUCUUCUUCAUUCAUCACUGAAAUCACCAUCUGUGACUCUUGAGGUGAUUAUGUUAUGAUGCAAAAAGCAAUUGAAAUUUUCACAGAACACUCAUUAGACUUUUACUUUUUAGAUACAUCGAUCCACUUCUAGAUCUUGGUUUCUCAUUUUGCAUCACUACGUUUUGCUUGUCCUCUAACCCGAUGCACUCCUAUAAUGCAUAGGGCUGGAUGAUUUCCUACCUUUGAUCUUAUGUAUAUGUAUUCACGUUCCCACCCAAAUAGAGGCUUCUACCAGAUAUUGGUAGCUUUUAGGAUUUUACAGACAACAUUGGAAGACAGAUUGCUUUGGAACAAUUAUAUGUGUAUUGGCCUUUGAUGUUCAAGUAGAUAUGGCAUAUAUGUAUUAGAAUGCUUUUCUCAAUUUAAUGUUGAAUGAUUGGGAAAUGGUCCA